rnacentral:rRNA from 1 species
AUGGUCAGUGUUUGGUUGAGAAGCCGCAUCCGUGUGACGUGGCGUAUUCUAAAGAGGAGGGCGCAGUGCGUGGGGCCUACUACUCGGCUGUUUGGCCCAUUCGCCUCUGCUGCAACGUCACUGACGGCGAGUUCAUCGGAUGGGCUGGAACCAAACCAAGGCGGCGUCGACAGACAGACGGCGUGUUUAUUAGCUGCCCCGCCGUGUGCGGUGUGCCGUCGUCGGUCGCCAGGAUCGCCGUCUUCACAGGGCAAUAUAUAUGUGGCAGGUCCGCUCCACCCCCUCCCGGUCCUCCUGCCUACGCUGCCACGGCAAAAAGAGAAAGAAAAAAAGGAUUCGCAGAGAAUAAUAAGCUGCAAAGGAGGAGGAGAAUACGAAUAUUCCAUUCGUCUGUUUUUGUUUUGCCUUUAA